GUGUAGUGUGCGUAAAGUGAAUGCAGUGUGUAUACACACUACACAAACACACUGCAUUCACUAUACACGCACAACAC